rnacentral:rRNA from 1 species
UACGGAGGGUGCGAGCGUUGUCCGGAAUCACUGGGCGUAAAGGGCGCGUAGGCGGCUUCUCAAGCGUGUGGUGAAAGUCCGGGGCUCAACCCCGGAUCGGCCGUGCGGACUGGGGAGCUCGAGUUCUGUAGAGGCGGGUGGAAUUCCGGGUGUAGCGGUGGAAUGCGUAGAGAUCCGGAAGAACGCCAGUGGCGAAGGCGGCCCGCUGGGCAGUGGCUGACGCUGAGGCGCGACAGCGUGGGGAGCAAACAGG